AUGUGCUUCUGCUGCCACUGGCGGGAGAUGGGGAGCUGCUGCUUGGGGCUGCCACAGCUGUUGGGGACAGGGACAGGCAUGUGGAGACCUGUGCUGCGUCCCGGUGCUGGCCCAGCAGGGCAGGAGGGUGCAGGGACAGUCAGGCCAGCACCUUUCCCUGGCUGCUUGCCCCGCACCAAAGCCUCAUUGCUCCAUUCUCAGCCCUGGUGCGUCAUGCUUCCGGCUCACACUGCCCCCAGGCCCAGGCUGUCAGGGUUUGGGGUGGCUCUGAUGCCCGCAGCCUCCUGUCACGGUCCUGAGAGCAGCCCUUAUGUCCAUCCUCUGACAAGCAAGGAGCAGCAGCCUUCCUCCUCCUCCUCGAUCCCUCUGGCUCCUGAGCAGGGUGAUGCCCGAUGGCCCCUUCCAUCUCUUUGCCACCUCUGGGCAUCUGCCUGCCCCUGCCACUUCUCCCAGCCCUGCCCUCCUGCCUGCCCAGGCCAUGGCUGCAGCACCCAUGCUGGGUGGGGAGCUGCGGCACCCCUGGGUGCCCUCCACCGUGCCCCCCACAGGGAUGCAGCCGCUGCAGAGUGGCCUGAGCCUGCUGGUGGCAAAGAGGGACCCGGGGUUGCCACAGUUCCUUCUCCCGAGGCCGGGGCAGGGCUCUGCGCUCACGUUCCUCCAGAGUCCAGGGCUCCAGCCAAAGCCCCUCAGGGGUCCCAGCACAGGGCAGGCACCUGGGGCCUUGCUCACAGCCAGGACAGGGGCUGGGGCUGGGCCCAGAGGCUGGGGGCAGAAGAGGGGCUCUUGGUGGCUGGUGGCCCAGUGGCCCUGCUCUGGCUGGGCAGUGGGCAGAGCUGCUCCCCCCGUGGUAGGAUGCUGGACCCCAGCCCAGCACUGCCUUCCCCGGUGCAGCCCUGCCCACCACCCCCAGUCCCUGGUACCAGAGCACAACCCCCCCAAGAAGCAUGUCCAGCCCAGCCCCUGCCUGGCCCAAGCACCCAGUGGGACUGUCCCAGAGCAGAGCCCUCUCCUCUCAGCCCCCCAACAACUGAUGUGAGCUGCAGCACCGUGCACAAAGGGGUGGGGGGCACCGGGGACCCCCUUCCAAGGCAGGGGCCUUGUCUGGCUAGAGGGGCCAGAGGCGCAGCUGCUCCUGCCCCAGUGCCAGCAGGGUCUGGGCGCUUGGGCCCCUCCUCUGGGAAGCAAUAA
rnacentral:lncRNA from 1 species